rnacentral:tRNA from 1 species
UUGUCCCAUAGCUCAACUGGUGGAGCGUCCGGCUGUUAACCGGGAGGUUGCUGGUUCGAGCCCAGCUGGGACAGU